rnacentral:rRNA from 1 species
UUGGAGGGCAAGUCUGGUGCCAGCAGCCGCGGUAAUUCCAGCUCCAAUAGCGUAUAUUAAAGUUGUUACAGUUAAAAAGCUCGUAGUUGAAUUUCGGGACCAAUUUGUUGGUCGUGCCUCGGUACGUACUGGUAUUAUUGGUUUCUCCCUUCUGAAGAACCUCGAUGUCAUUAAUUUGGUGUCGUGGGGAAUCAGGACUGUUACUUUGAAAAAAUUAGAGUGUUUAAAGCAGGCAUACGCUUGAAUACAUUAGCAUGGAAUAAUGAAAUAGGACGUUUGAUUCUAUUUUGUUGGUUUCUAGGAUCGACGUAAUGAUUAAUAGGGAUAGUUGGGGGCAUUAGUAUUCAAUUGUCAGAGGUGAAAUUCUUGGAUUUAUUGAAGACUAACUACUGCGAAAGCAUUUGCCAAGGAUGUUUUCAUUAAUCAAGAACGAAAGUUAGGGGAUCGAAGACGAUCAGAUACCGUCGUAGUCUUAACCAUAAACUAUGCCGACUAGGGAUCGGAUGAUGUUAAUUUUUUAAUGACUCAUUCGGCGCCUUACGGGAAACCAAAGUGUUUGGGUUC